rnacentral:lncRNA from 1 species
UGAAGCGUGCGUGCCGUUGCUCUACUGUCUGGUCGACAGCGUUCGUACGCUCAAGUCGAGAUUCGACGCUAUUUCGGCCAGAUAUGUCUUGCAUGGUCGACAUGGAAAGGGGCGCCAUUCCGUCGACACCGCUUUUGUGGGCUUCACGCUAACGGGCAAACUUGGGCUGACGCUGGCUUCUCCACUGUUCUGUGUUUGCGGUGGAUGCCUGGGCACAUGCUGUCAAUGAUGCCAACUAGAACGCUCCUCUGAAUGACUUAAUAAGGCAAUAUGAAUGCAUGCUGCACAAGAAGCAAGACUUCAUUGAUGCCUUUAGGAUGUAUUGCCUCAAAGAGUGGCUUAAAAGCUGUACCCGGUUAAAUUCGCUUUUACUUCCUCAAAAAGUGACUUUGGCCCCAAAAAAACAUUGGUACGCGUCAGCGCAAGCAAUUGCCAGGCAGAGACAAGAAGUGAUGGUAAAAUUUAUAGCUUCAUUAUUGCACGCACAGGUACAUCAACAUGAUGGCAGUACAAAAGAAUGCAUAGAGACUUGAAACCAAGCCUAUUGUGGGCAUCAGAGAAUUCAGCUACCAGCCAUAAUCUGCCAGCCACCUGGAAAUAGACUUGGCAUCAUCACUACAGGAAAAGGAACACAUACUGUGUUUGAAAAUUAAGAGAUGGAACUCUUCAAAACUUUCAGCAUUUAUGGAGAUCGGAACAAGCGUAAAAUCUGCACGGCUGGCAAAAUUGUGACUGCGUAAAGGGGUGCCAGUGGUUACAGUCACUUGGAGCACUGUUUACCACCAAUGGCAUUGUCACUGGGAACAUUCCAUUAGAUAGGGCCAUCCUGUUCAAUAGUGCAAGCACUACCAAGGCACCCAAGUCACCGUCAUCCCUUUUGAAAUGAGUGAAGAGACUUGUCAGUCUGUUGUGCGAAGUACCUGGCAUAUAGCCCUAUAGACACUUCACAUACCAAGAAUAAUCACUUGGUGCGGGUGCACAUAGAAGAGGCUAAUUCGGCCUGAUGCUGACUUCUCAAGUUUACUCGCUGUUCGACAUGGAUGUCUGGACCCAAGCUAUCAAUUAUUUGAACUACAACGCUCCUAUAAAUGGUCCUCUGAGACGUUAUGAAAGUCAAGGUCGGAAAUGAAUGGCCACACCAUCAAACCCUUCAUGAUGAAAUGGCUCACGAGCAGCUUCUGCUUGUCCAUCGGCGCUUCUUUAGUCUGUCACUCUCAGUGCUCUCCUUUCUCUCUACCUAGUGAUCUGUAACUCUCCCCAUCUCUGUUUGAAUUUCUCACUAUCUGCAUUUGUCUGUCCAUCCCUCUGCCUGCAUAUCUCUUAAUGUUUGUCUACGUCAUUGUCUGUUCACGUUGCUCUGUAUGUCUCGGUCUACACGUUCGUCUUGCGGCAUUUCACUGUGUCCUUCUGUAGUCUUUUGUCAGUCUCUGACUGCGUAUGUCCAUUGAUCUGCCUGUGUCUGUUAGUCCGUGUUUCUGUCUACUUUCAUAAUUUGUCUCUCUGCAUUUACCCGCGCGUAAAUGUCUGUCAUUGUUUUCUUGUCUAUCUGCCUUGAUUAGUCUGUGUGACCGUUUGCCUGUCUCAAUUUUGCUGCUAUGAUUCAGCCCUGUCUAUCCGAAAAUCUGACGUUUCGUCAAUCCGUGCAUCUCCAGCCCUUUGUCUAUAUCCAUGUCGGUCCAUGCAUCUGUCUGUCUGCCUGUCUCAUUUUGUACCUAUCAGUGCGUCUCUGUACACGAAUUUUUGUGUAUCUAUCCAUCUGCCCGUUUGUCUCUCUCUCUCUCUCUGGGUCAGUCUCUUCAUGCGUUUUCACUAUCCAUCUGUCCGAGUCUGUGCCUUUAUCUUGCCCGUCAGUCCGUCUCUUCAUACGUAGGUGUUCUGUGCAUCUGUCUUACUAUUUCCCUGUCUCUGUAAGUCCCUCCAUUGUCUUUAUUCAGUGUUUUCACUGUCCAUCUGCCUGCAUUCAUGCCUCCAUCCUUCGGUGUAAUAUGGUGGGUCUCUGUGUUUUUACAUCCGUUCAACCGUCUUUGCCUCCAUCCGGCAUUCUGUCUGUCUUUCAGGGUGAAGCUCCUUACGCCAUUGGUCAUUUCCUCCUCUAUAGUGGCAAUAUGUAGCAACCUCCAAUUUCAGUCGCUCGUUAGAGGGUGUUGUAUAAGUGCAUUUUGUUUGUCUUUUAGGAUGAAG